GAAAUAAAAGUUUCUGCAGUUCCGCAUCAAUCUGGUGAAAGAAAAUAUAUUUUUUACUUUCAAAUCGAUGAAGAAGCUGCUCACAAAGUGGAAAAUUUGGAUUUUAUAACUUACUUAAACAUUGAACAUGACAAUAAUUACGCUUUAUUGUUUAUUCUCUAUCUCAUCGAGAGGGGGUACUAUCCAGUGACAUCAAAGGAGUACUCUUCAAUCUACAAAAGUAUAGAUUGCAUCGAUUUUGAAAUUAUAAAUUAAUAUCGCUUAUCAUUAUAAAAAUAACUAAUAAAAACUAAACAUU